GGCUGGUAGACAAUGUGGGAAAGUACUCUGUUAGAGGAAAGAAGGGACUGCCUGACAAGAGAAGGAGCUGAGCUGGCUGGAGCCUGCAAUUCUGAAGCUGAUCUUAACGGGAGGAACCAUGAAGACAUCCAUGGGAACUUUAAUCAUAUUCUCAUGGCUGCAGCUGAACUGGUUCAGCCAAGGAGAGAAGGUGGAGCAGCAUCCUUCUACCCUGAGUGUGCAGCAGGGAAGCAGCUCUGUUAUCAACUGCAGUUAUUCAGACAGUCGUUCAGACUACUUCCCUUGGUAUAAGCAAGAGUUUGGAAAGGGUCCCCAGCUCCUUCUAUACAUUCGUUCAACCACGGCCACAAAAGAACACCAAAGAUUCACUGUUUUAUUGAAUAAGAUGGCCAAACAUCUCUCCCUGCACAUCGCAGACACCCAGCCUGAAGACUCAGCUGUGUACUUCUGUGCAGCAAGCACACAUUGCUUCCCAGGCACCUGCUGCCUGCACUCAAACCUGGAUCUGGGGCAUCCCCUUGACCUCUGACACAGAACUUCAAGUAUAGCUUUUGUGCUGUUGUUUGUCUGCAAAUGGAAGCUAAUGUGUCAGACGUUAAAGGCAUAUAAUAAGACUAUUAGGAUGGAGAUGACCCAGACAGGGUUAGAACAUUUUGUUGGACGACUGUUGUUUAAUGGAUUCUUGAAUGGAGCUAGUAAUGUUUUAUUUUGAAAUUCAGAUUUUAAAGAACUAUACAUUUGCCAUUGAGAUUCCUGUCCUAUAAAUAACCCCCGGUACCAAUAUACAGUCCUUUUUAUGGAUGGGCACUUAAAUAUUGUGUUUCAAAAGUAGCAUUUUUAAUUUUUGUGAUCUAAAAUAUUUCAUGCCAAAUAUAGAAAUAUGGAAAGUACAAAUAUGAAAGUGAUAAUUCUGUAAUAUAUAAUGUUGCUAAUAUUCUUUUGGUCUCUAAAUGUUUUUAUUUAAUCAGAUUCAUGAAUUUUUCACUUUAUGGAUUUUGAUUUGAGCAUUCCACACUUCAUCAAUUCUUUACAUCAAACUUCAGCAUUGUUUUAAUUUCAUGUUUAAGUUUUCAUUUAAUUAGUGCAUUAUAAUACCUUUGUGAGGUAUUUAAUUAAUUACAUUUUCAUAUUAAUUUUCUUCCUUCAUAAAUGGGGCAUAAUUUGACAGACAUUUCUAUGUACUUUGAUCCUUUUCUUGUUCAGAAAUUGUAUCACAGGUUUUCCUUUAGAGCCUAGGGCGGUAUGUACUAUUUGUGCGUUUAGGGAAAUUAAGAUAGAAAGUGAUUUGACAAUGUGAGCUUCAGAUAAAACUCAGAAAUCUAUUCUUGUUUACAAAAUUCUGUAAAUAUCUAUUUGCAAUGACUCUUUCAUACAACUUAGGAGACAGAAUUCUGCAUCCCAUUCACUGUUAUAUUUACAGUACCUAGCAUAAACUUUUUCACAUAAUUAUCAGUAGAUGUUUGUUAAAGAAAGAAGGAAAGGUCAAUUCUGCCACUUACUCAUAGUUUUAAUUUAAGUUUUAUGUUUGAAUUAAGUUUAUAAAUUGAUUUGUGAAAAACAAAAGACCUUAAUAUAUAUAUCUGAUUAUUUGAUUGUUUUAGAACAUACUCUUUCAUUCCAUUUAUAUGUCUCUCUUAAUAAAGCUCUGUUGUUUGAAGGUAAUUCAAUUAUUUGCAGGGCUUGUAAUUUUUUGUUAUGAUUAUAAUGAAAACCUUUCUUUCUGAGAUAUAUGGGAAAACUUUUAUAUGCAUGUAUCAGCCACCUUACUAUUUUUAGUAGAUUGCGGGAAGACAUUUGGACUAAUGACUAAUGUAGAGAUGACAUGCUACCAGCCUCCCUGCCACGUGUUCA